rnacentral:rRNA from 1 species
AUUGAACGCUGGCGGCAGGCCUAACACAUGCAAGUCGAGCGGAUGAAGGGAGCUUGCUCCUGGAUUCAGCGGCGGACGGGUGAGUAAUGCCUAGGAAUCUGCCUGGUAGUGGGGGAUAACGUCCGGAAACGGGCGCUAAUACCGCAUACAUCCUGAGGGAGAAAGUGGGGGAUCUUCGGACCUCACGCUAUCAGAUGAGCCUAGGUCGGAUUAGCUAGUUGGUGGGGUAAAGGCCUACCAAGGCGACGAUCCGUAACUGGUCUGAGAGGAUGAUCAGUCACACUGGAACUGAGACACGGUCCAGACUCCUACGGGAGGCAGCAGUGGGGAAUAUUGGACAAUGGGCGAAAGCCUGAUCCAGCCAUGCCGCGUGUGUGAAGAAGGUCUUCGGAUUGUAAAGCACUUUAAGUUGGGAGGAAGGGCAGUAAGUUAAUACCUUGCUGUUUGGACGUUACCAACAGAAUAAGCACCGGCUAACUUCGU